AGAUGUGUUUUCUCCAUUAGUUUGCAAAAGCUUCCUGAGAGUAGGUCUGUGCCUCAUUUAUUCUGGAAUCUCCCUGGCACAAAGCACAGGGCUUUAUCUUCAGUAGGCAUCCAACAAAUGUUUCAUUUCAUUCAACAGCUCCUCUUACCACUGCCUCCACCUUAUUUGCAGGUGGCUAAGUACAAUCGGAACAAGUAGGUAUCAUAAGAUUUAGUCCAGAGUCAAUUUGAGAAGAAAUUACUUUAGUGAUAUGAAAAUAAACCAUGCUAUUGAGUCAGAAUACUUCUGAGAAUAUCCCCUGUCCAAGCAUUUGCUGAAUUUCUAUGUACUAAUUUUCAGGUGGAACAGUAUGCUUGCAGAGGGUCCAUUUGGACAUAGAUACACUUUCAUACAUUCAUGUCUUUAACAAGAAUUUGUGUCCCUACUGUGUUUGUUCACUAACUCCUUUGAACCUACCACAUAAGCUAUAUCUGUAUUUUCCUUGUAAUUUGGGAGGUCCAGUGCUUCAUUACGCUCAUAUGCCUGAAACUAAUGAAGAAAAUAGCUCGUUAACCAGCUAGUAUAAAAGUAGCCACCAAAUCAAGUCAAUCACCUGCCUUAAAUUAGCCCAGUACUCCCAUCUUGAGCGGAGAAGCCCAUUCUGAAUCACAGUCAAGACAUUGAUGGAAAAACAACUCCCUCUGGGGAUCAAAACCACGCUCACUCCAAAUCCUCCUCCCCAGAGUUCUACUCAUUGCUCACCCACUGAACCCAGAACUAACCAGAAGUGCUUGAAAUGAGGACGGGUAGCUCCAUGUACCAAUCGGAAUUUAAAACUCUAUCAAUUCCUGCUAUAGAAAUGAGGCUUCUCCCCAGGACCAGCAUUCCACGAAGGCAGCCCUUUUCUAGAUGGAGAAAACAGAACCUGAAGACACCCGUUUCCCUAAACUGCUCUCGCUCAUGUUUCUACAAGGCCUGGAGCUGAUAGGAAAAACCUCCCUUCUUUCCCAAAUGGUCCCCAGCUGCCCCGUUCACUGAAGGCCCUGCAGUCAGGAACGGUCAGGACUUCACACCCAGUUGUUGUGGGUGUUUGGCCGACACGACACUUCCUCUUGUGUGAUUCAUGGACCCGCAGCAUUGCGUCACCUGGGAGCUUUUGGUAUUGAAGACUCUCAGGGCUCACCCGGAAGGACCUGCUGGGCCAGAAUCUACAUUUUAACAAGAUGCCCAGAAACUCCUGGAGGGCAGAGGCAUGCCUGCCAUCUUCAUCAUUGCAUUACCACCACCCAACACUAUCGGGGGACCUGCCCUGAUAAUCAGUCUACAGGUGUAUCCAGCAGCUCCAGAGAGACAGCGACCAGCGAGAAGGGGCCAUGAUGAUGGUGGUGGUUUUGUCAAAACGAAAAGGGGGAUAUGUAGGGAAAAGAAAGAGAGAUCAGACUGUUACUGUGUCUACAUAGAAAGGGAAGCCAUAAGAGACUCCAUUUUGAAAAAGACCUGUACUUUAAACAAUUGCUUGCUGAGAUGUUGUUUAUCUGUAGCUUUGCCCCAGCCACUUUGCCCCAACCACUUUGACCCAAUCUGGAGCUCACAAAAACAUGUUUGUAUGAAAUCAAGGUUUAAGGCAUGUAGGGCUGUGCAGGACGUGCCUUGUUAACCAAAUAUUUGGAAGCAGUAUACUUGGUAAAAGUCAUCACCAUUCUCUCGUCUCAAUAAACCAGGGGCACAAUGCACUGUGGAAAGCCGCAGGGACCUCUGCCCUUGAAAGCUGGGUAUUGUCCAUGGUUUCUUCCCAUGUGAUAGUCUGAAAUAUGGCCUCAUGGGAUGAGAAAGACCUGACGGUCCCCCAGCUCGACACCCAUAAAGUGUCUGUGCUGAGGUGGAUUAGUCAAAGAGGAAAGCCUCUUGCAGUUGAGAUAGAGGAAGGCCGCUGUCUCAUGCUUGCCCCCUGGGAACUGAAUGUCUCGGUAUAAAACACUAUUGUACAUUUGUUCAAUUCUGACAUGGGAGAAAAACCACCCUAUGGUGGGAGGCGAGACAUGUUUACAGCAAUGCUGCCUUGUUAUUCUUUACUCCACUGAGAUGUCUGGGUGCAGAGAAACAUAAAUCUGGCUUACAUGCACGUCCAGUCAUAGUACCUUCCCUUGAACUUCAUUAUGUCAUAGAUUCUAUUGCUCACAUGUUUGUUGCUGACCUUCUCCUUAUUAUCACCUUGCCCUCCUACUACAUUCAUUUUUGCUGAAAUAAUGAAGAUAAUAAUCAAUAAAAACUGAGGGAACUCAGAGAACGGUGCCAGUGCAGGUCCUUGGUAUGCUAAGCGCCGGUCCCCUGGGCCCACUGUUGUUUCUCUAUACUUUGUCUCUGUGUCUGAUUUCUUUUCUGUCUCUCAUCCCACCCGACAAGAAAUACCCACAGGUGUGGAGGGGCA
rnacentral:lncRNA from 1 species